CGAGACCGAACGAGAUGGCCGCUUCCUCAAAAUGUAAACAGAAGUGAGUAGAUGCACAGUGAAGAAGACAUGUGAGCAGAAACUCCAUCGUAUGUGCUGUGAUGGGUUCUGCUCCGUGGCUGAUAAAAUGGAGACUAAAGGGACCGACGAGGUGGAGAACCUGAAGUCCAAGUUUAUGUCAGCAUGGCACAAUGUGAAAUAUAGUUGGGCUCUUAAGUCAAAAACUGCCUUCAGCCGUAAUUCUCCUGUUUUCUU